AAGGAGUCUAGCAUGUGCGCGAGUCAUUGGGACAUCACGAAACCUAAAGGCGCAAUGAAAGUGAAGGUCCGCCUUGCGCGGACCGAGGGAGGAUGAGCGACUCCCGGGGCGUCUCGUUCUCAUUGCGAGAAGAGGCGCACCAAGAGCGUACACGCUGGGACCCGAAAGAUGGUGAACUAUGCCUGGUCAGGACGAAGUCAGGGGAAACCCUGAUGGAGGUCCGUAGCGAUUCUGACGUGCAAAUCGAUCGUCGGAACUGGGUAUAGGGGCGAAAGACUAAUCGAACCAUCUAGUAGCUGGUUCCCUCCGAAGUUUCCCUCAGGAUAGCUGGCGCUCGUCGCGCACGAGUUUCAUCCGGUAAAGCGAAUGAUUAGAGGCAUUGGGGUCGAAACGACCUCAACCUAUUCUCAAACUUUAAAUGGUGAGAUCUCCGGCUUGCUCGAAUCAGAGU
rnacentral:rRNA from 1 species